rnacentral:rRNA from 1 species
UGGGGAAUCUUAGACAAUGGGGGAAACCCUGAUCUAGCCAUGCCGCGUGAGUGACGAAGGCCCUAGGGUCGUAAAGCUCUUUCGCCAGGGAAGAUAAUGACUGUACCUGGUAAAGAAACCCCGGCUAACUCCGUGCCAGCAGCCGCGGUAGUACGGAGGGGGUUAGCGUUGUUCGGAAUUACUGGGCGUAAAGCGCGCGUAGGCGGAUUAGUCAGUCAGAGGUGAAAUCCCGGGGCUCAACCCCGGAACUGCCUUCGAGACUGGGCGGCUAGAGACCGGAAGAGGAGGGUGGAAUACCCAGUGUAGAGGUGAAAUUCGUAGAUAUUGGGUGGAACACCAGUGGCGAAAGCGGCUCUCUGGUCCGGUUCUGACGCUGAGGCGCGAAAGCGUGGGGAGCAAACAGGAUUAGAUACCCCCGUAGUCC